GCCAUGGGCAGCUACCUUAGGGGUCUCUACCAGAGGGAUAGGCAGCAGACCACCUGGGAAGAGUGAAGAAACCCAUUGCAAGGUCACCUGCCUUCGUGGAUGUGCACUGAAGAACCAGCCACUGCCAGACACUACCCGCUCAUCCCAUAAUCCCAGGAAUUCACUCACGAUGAGGCUCCUGUUCCUCCUCCUCCUCCUCCUCAUUUGUCUCUCACAGAUGGUGUCAGGCUACGAAAAAAGAAAGAAAAACAAGGAAUGUGAAGACAUGGGGGGCGCCUGCAAGCACCAGAAGACCCACGGGUGCUCCAUCCUGCCUGCAGAGUGCAGGAGUCGGAACAAGCACUGCUGCAGAGUCUAGCCCCUAUGCCACGGCGCCUGCUGACUCCACGCAAUAAAGGCGUACCACUCGC